GCUUCCAGUGAGGACGUUGCCAGCUCCCCAGAGCGCCACUACACACCCUUGCCUUCUGCUUCCAGGGAACUCACCAGUCACCAAGAUUUAAAUAUUCCAGUGUUGAGAAUCCACAGUAAACUUGCUGUACUCUGUCACUGUUGAGGAAUGGGACAUCACAUGAAUCAAAUAUGCUGGUAAAUAAAGAAAUAUGGAGAAAAAUAUAGAGGUGUCCUGGGGAAGUGUCGCUACGUUUACUAUGGGAAAAACUCAGAGGGCAACAGGUUUAUCCGAGAUGACCAGCUCUGAAGCCAACUUCUGUAUACC
rnacentral:sRNA from 1 species